AUGGUUGUCAAAAGUUCACAAAUACAUCAUCAUUCAAGUUCAAUGUCAAAUUCAAGUGAUAUUUCAAAUUUCAUUUAUUUUGAUCCAAGGUUCUUUACAAAAGAAAUUUCAAGAUUCCUUGGAAAAAACCUUCAAACUUCAUUACUAAUUCAUCGUAAUUCAUCCACAAAUUUCAAGCAACUUUACAUUAUUUAUCGUUUACAAGUACACUCAAGUUUUCUUUACAAUACAAGAAAACAAAAAGAAGAAUGUACAUCCUAA